GGAAUCUUCCACAAUGGACGAAAGUCUGAUGGAGCAACGCCGCGUGAGUGAAGAAGGGUUUCGGCUCGUAAAACUCUGUUGUUAAAGAAGAACAUAUCUGAGAGUAACUGUUCAGGUAUUGACGGUAUUUAACCAGAAAGCCACGGCUAACUACGUGCCAGCAGCCGCGGUAAUACGUAGGUGGCAAGCGUUGUCCGGAUUUAUUGGGCGUAAAGCGAGCGCAGGCGGUUUUUUAAGUCUGAUGUGAAAGCCUUCGGCUCAACCGAAGAAGUGCAUCGGAAACUGGGAAACUUGAGUGCAGAAGA
rnacentral:rRNA from 1 species